rnacentral:rRNA from 1 species
UGGGGAAUAUUGCACAAUGGGCGAAAGCCUGAUGCAGCAACGCCGCGUGAGUGAUGAAGGCCUUCGGGUUGUAAAGCUCUGUCUUUUGGGACGAUAAUGACGGUACCAAAGGAGGAAGCCACGGCUAACUACGUGCCAGCAGCCGCGGUAAUACGUAGGUGGCAAGCGUUGUCCGGAUUUACUGGGCGUAAAGGAUGCGUAGGCGGAUUUUUAAGUGAGAUGUGAAAUACCCGGGCUUAACUUGGGUGCUGCAUUUCAAACUGGGAAUCUAGAGUGCGGGAGAGGAGAAUGGAGUUCCUAGUGUAGCGGUGAAAUGCGUAGAGAUUAGGAAGAACACCAGUGGCGAAGGCGAUUCUCUGGACCGUAACUGACGCUGAGGCAUGAAAGCGUGGGUAGCAAACAGGAUUAGAUACCCUGGUAGUCCACGCCGUAAACGAUGAGUACUAGGUGUAGGAGGUAUCGACCCCUUCUGUGCCGCAGUUAACACAAUAAGUACUCCGCCUGGGAAGUACGAUCGCAAGAUUAAAACUCAAAUGAAUUGACGGGGUCAUAGCUGUUUUCCU